rnacentral:rRNA from 1 species
AAAACGGAGAGUUUGAUCCUGGCUCAGGAUGAACGCUGGCGGUAUUCUUAACACAUGCAAGUCGAACGGUGUCUUCGGACAUAGUGGCGGACGGGUGAGUAACGCGUGAGAAUCUGGCUUCAGGAUGGGGACAACAGUUGGAAACGACUGCUAAGACCCGAUGUGCCGAGAGGUGAAAUAUUUAUAGCC